rnacentral:ncRNA from 1 species
CAUAACUCCACUGAGAUUAAAAGGGAAUCGGGUGAAAAUCCCGAACAGUUCCCGCUGCUGUGAAUCUCACAGUGCUCUACGACAUCAUAUUGUCACUGGGGGCGUGUCCCUUGGGAAGGCAUCGUAGAGCGAGAUAAGUCAGAAGACCUGCCAAGCGUUUA